GUCGCAAAUACCCUGUGUAAAUAAAAAAAAAUUAUUGCUAGAAAACAUUCUGAAACUCUUACGAUGUGGGCUAAGUGCCUGGUGAAUUAUUGCUUUACUUUAUGUUUCAUUUGUAAGAAACUCACCAUCCGAAAGCAGUGCACUUAGGCUUUCAUUUGACGUUCUGGCUCAAAUUCGAAAAUAUAAAAUUUGCCAACCAAAUGAGGUAUUUUCAUUGCUUUUAGAAUUAUUCCAAUUUAUCAUCAUUAUUUAUUUGAUUUCAUUUUUUCUCUCCCAUAUUUAAUCAUGUUCUUUAACUAUAUCGCUGUUUGUGUGCACUUAUUACUGAUAACAAUUUAAAACAAAAGGAA